rnacentral:SRP_RNA from 1 species
GCCAGGCGUGGUGGUGUGCACCUGUAAUCCCAGCUACUCAGGAGGCUGAGACAGGAGAAUCACUUGAGCCUGGGAGGUUGAGACUGCAGUGAGCCAAGAUUACGCCACUGCACUCCAGCCUGGGCAACCACAGUGAGACCCUGUCUCAA